AGGGGUCUGGCCUGCCCGGUGACAAAAUUUAACGGCCGCGGUACUCUGACCGUGCAAAGGUAGCAUAAUCAUUUGCCUUAUAAUUGAAGGCUAGUAUGAAUGGUUUAACGAAAGCCAAACUGUCUCUUGUUGAAUGAGAUGAAAUUGAUUUGCAGGUGCAAAGGCCUGUAUCUAACUAAAAGACAAGAAGACCCUAUUGAGCUUUAGAGAUUAAUUAAAAAUAAAGUAUAUUUACAUUAAGAUUUCUGUUUUUUAAUCAUUUUUAGUUGGGGCGACUUCGGAACAAUAAAAGCUUCCUAGUAUUAAAUAUACUUUUAAGCCUUGAUCCAAAAGUUUUUGAUCAACAGAAUUAGUUACCAUAGGGAUAACAGCAUAAUCUUUCUUAAGAGCCCUAAUCGAAAGAAGGGAUUGUGACCUCGAUGUUGGACUAGAGUAUCCCAAAGGUGCAGAAGCUUUUGAAGGUUGGUCUGUUCG
rnacentral:rRNA from 1 species